rnacentral:tRNA from 1 species
AGAAUACCGGCCUGUCACGCCGGGGGUCGCGGGUUCGAGUCCCGUCCGCACCGCCAACAUUCAGAAGCCCUGAG